rnacentral:rRNA from 1 species
ACUCUAAGCGGUGGAUCACUCGGCUCAUGGGUCGAUGAAGAACGCAGCAAACUGUGCGUCAUCGUGUGAACUGCAGGACACAUGAACAUCGACAUUUUGAACGCAUAUCGCAGUCCAUGCUGUUAUGUACUUUAAUUAAUUUUAUAGUGCUGCUUGGACUACAUAUGGUUGAGGGUUGUAAGACUAUGCUAAUUAAGUUGCUUAUAAAUUUUUAUAAGCAUAUGGUAUAUUAUUGGAUAAAUAUAAUAAUUUUUAUUCAUAAUAUUAAAAAAUAAAUGAAAAACAUUAUCUCACAUUUGAAUGUGAAAAACGAAGAGAAAUAUUUUCUUUUUCAAUCAAAUAAUACUGAGAAAUGUCUAGCAUAAAAAAUUGAAAUAUUUUUCAUCUAGAAUUGUCUCUUAUUAAUGAUUCGGAAAUAGAAAAAUCUUGGUUAUGUUAUUAUUCUUCGUUGGUUCGUUAAAAAUGGAUAAAUAAAAACUUUGCAUACAAGAAUUAAUAAAAAUGUUAUAACGAAUUUAAUUAAAUGUUUUAUCAUUAUAUAUAAAGAAUUUAUGGCAAGAUAAAGUUAUAUACAACCUCAACUCAUAUGGGACUACCCCCUGAAUUUAAGCAUAUUAAUUAGGGGAGGAAAAGAAACUAACAAGGAUUUUCUUAGUAGCGGCGAGCGAAAAGAAAACAGUUCAGCACUAAGUCACUUUGUCUAUAUGGCAAAUGUGAGAUGCAGUGUAUGGAGCGUCAAUAUUCUAGUAUGAGAAAUUAACGAUUUAAGUCCUUCUUAAAUGAGGCCAUUUACCCAUAGAGGGUGCCAGGCCCGUAUAACGUUAAUGAUUACUAGAUGAUGUUUCCAAAGAGUCGUGUUGCUUGAUAGUGCAGCACUAAGUGGGUGGUAAACUCCAUCUAAAACUAAAUAUAACCAUGAGACCGAUAGUAAACAAGUACCGUGAGGGAAAGUUGAAAAGAACUCUGAAUAGAGAGUUAAACAGUACGUGAAACUGCUUAGAGGUUAAGCCCGAUGAACCUGAAUAUCCGUUAUGGAAAAUUCAUCAUUAAAAUUGUAAUAUUUAAAUAAUAUUAUGAGAAUAGUGUGCAUUUUUUCCAUAUAAGGACAUUGUAAUCUAUUAGCAUAUACCAAAUUUAUCAUAAAAUAUAACUUAUAGUUUAUUCCAAUUAAAUUGCUUGCAUUUUAACACAGAAUAAAUGUUAUUAAUUUGAUAAAGUGCUGAUAGAUUUAUAUGAUUACAGUGCGUUAAUUUUUCGGAAUUAUAUAAUGGCAUAAUUAUCAUUGAUUUUUGUGUUUAUUAUAUGCACUUGUAUGAUUAACAAUGCGAAAGAUUCAGGAUACCUUCGGGACCCGUCUUGAAACACGGACCAAGGAGUCUAACAUAUGUGCAAGUUAUUGGGAUAUAAACCUAAUAGCGUAAUUAACUUGACUAAUAAUGGGAUUAGUUUUUUAGCUAUUUAUAGCUAAUUAACACAAUCCCGGGGCGUUCUAUAUAGUUAUGUAUAAUGUAUAUUUAUAUUAUUUAUGCCUCUAACUGGAACGUACCUUGAGCAUAUAUGCUGUGACCCGAAAGAUGGUGAACUAUACUUGAUCAGGUUGAAGUCAGGGGAAACCCUGAUGGAAGACCGAAACAGUUCUGACGUGCAAAUCGAUUGUCAGAAUUGAGUAUAGGGGCGAAAGACCAAUCGAACCAUCUAGUAGCUGGUUCCUUCCGAAGUUUCCCUCAGGAUAGCUGGUGCAUUUUAAUAUUAUAUAAAAUAAUCUUAUCUGGUAAAGCGAAUGAUUAGAGGCCUUAGGGUCGAAACGAUCUUAACCUAUUCUCAAACUUUAAAUGGGUAAGAACCUUAACUUUCUUGAUAUGAAGUUCAAGGUUAUGAUAUAAUGUGCCCAGUGGGCCACUUUUGGUAAGCAGAACUGGCGCUGUGGGAUGAACCAAACGUAAUGUUACGGUGCCCAAAUUAACAACUCAUGCAGAUACCAUGAAAGGCGUUGGUUGCUUAAAACAGCAGGACGGUGAUCAUGGAAGUCGAAAUCCGCUAAGGAGUGUGUAACAACUCACCUGCCGAAGCAACUAGCCCUUAAAAUGGAUGGCGCUUAAGUUGUAUACCUAUACAUUACCGCUAAAGUAGAUGAUUUAUAUUACUUGUGAUAUAAAUUUUGAAACUUUAGUGAGUAGGAAGGUACAAUGGUAUGCGUAGAAGUGUUUGGCGUAAGCCUGCAUGGAGCUGCCAUUGGUACAGAUCUUGGUGGUAGUAGCAAAUAAUCGAAUGAGACCUUGGAGGACUGAAGUGGAGAAGGGUUUCGUGUGAACAGUGGUUUGAUCACGAGUUAGUCGGUCCUAAGUUCAAGGCGAAAGCCGAAAAUUUUCAAGUAAAACAAAAAUGCCUAACUAUAUAAACAAAGCGAAUUAUAAUACACUUGAAUAAUUUUGAACGAAAGGGAAUACGGUUCCAAUUCCGUAACCUGUUGAGUAUCCGUUUGUUAUUAAAUAUGGGCCUCGUGCUCAUCCUGGCAACAGGAACGACCAUAAAGAAGCCGUCGAGAGAUAUCGGAAGAGUUUUCUUUUCUGUUUUAUAGCCGUACUACCAUGGAAGUCUUUCGCAGAGAGAUAUGGUAGAUGGGCUAGAAGAGCAUGACAUAUACUGUUGUGUCGAUAUUUUCUCCUCGGACCUUGAAAAUUUAUGGUGGGGACACGCAAACUUCUCAACAGGCCGUACCAAUAUCCGCAGCUGGUCUCCAAGGUGAAGAGUCUCUAGUCGAUAGAAUAAUGUAGGUAAGGGAAGUCGGCAAAUUAGAUCCGUAACUUCGGGAUAAGGAUUGCUCUGAGAUUGAGAUAGUCGGGCUUGAUUGGAAACAAUAACAUGGUUUAUGUGCUCGUUCUGGGUAAAUAGAGUUUCUAGCAUUUAUGUUAGUUACUUGUUCCCGGAUAGUUUAGUUCGUAGCCAAUUGUGGAACUUUCUUGCUAAAAUUUUUAAGAAUACUAUUUGGGUUAAACCAAUUGUUCUUAUUAAUUAUAACGAUUAUCAAUUAACAAUCAAUUAGAACUGGCACGGACUUGGGGAAUCGCGACUGUCUAAUUAAAACAAAGCAUUGUGAUGGCCCUAGCGGGUGUUGACACAAUGUGAUUUCUGCCCAGUGCUCUGAAUGUCAAAGUGAAGAAAUUCAAGUAAGCGCGGGUCAACGGCGGGAGUAACUAUGACUCUCUUAAGGUAGCCAAAUCCUCGUCAUCUAAUUAGUGACGCGCAUGAUGGAUUAACGAGAUUCUACUGUC